rnacentral:rRNA from 1 species
AGAGUUUGAUCAUGGCUCAGGAUGAACGCUAGCUACAGGCUUAACACAUGCAAGUCGAGGGGCAGCAUUGGAGUAGCAAUACUCAGAUGGCGACCGGCGCACGGGUGAGUAACACGUAUCCAACCUGCCGCUUACUCGGGGAUAGCCUUUCGAAAGAAAGAUUAAUACCCGAUGGUAUAAAGAGUUCGCAUGUUCUCUUUAUUAAAGAAUUUCGGUAAGCGAUGGGGAUGCGUUCCAUUAGAUAGUUGGCGGGGUAACGGCCCACCAAGUCUACGAUGGAUAGGGGUUCUGAGAGGAAGGUCCCCCCACAUUGGAACUGAGACACGGUCCAAACUCCUACGGGAGGCAGCAGUGAGGAAUAUUGGUCAAUGGACGAGAGUCUGAACCAGCCAAGUAGCGUGAAGGAUGACUGCCCUAUGGGUUGUAAACUUCUUUUAUAAGGGAAUAAAGUGAGGGACGUGUCCCUUUUUGUAUGUACCUUAUGAAUAAGGAUCGGCUAACUCCGUGCCAGCAGCCGC